rnacentral:rRNA from 1 species
GACGAACCGUGCAAACGUUAUUCGGAAUCACUGGGCUUAAAGCGCGUGUAGGCGGGUCGGUGCGUCGGUCGCUGAAAGCCCCCGGCUCAACCGGGGAAGUGGCGCCGAAACGAGCGGCCUGGAGGGGGGUAGGGGGACCUGGAACUUCCGGUGGAGCGGUGAAAUGCGUUGAGAUCGGAAGGAACGCCCGUGGCGAAAGCGAGGUCCUGGACCCUUUCUGACGCUGAGACGCGAAAGCCAGGGGAGCGAACGGG